UACGUAGGGUGCGAGCGUUGUCCGGAAUUACUGGGCGUAAAGAGCUCGUAGGUGGUUUGUCGCGUUGUCCGUGAAAACUCACAGCUCAACUGUGGGCGUGCGGGCGAUACGGGCAGACUUGAGUACUGCAGGGGAGACUGGAAUUCCUGGUGUAGUGGUGGAAUGCGCAGAUAUCAGGAGGAACACCGGUGGCGAAGGCGGGUCUCUGGGCAGUAACUGACGCUGAGGAGCGAAAGCGUGGGGAGCGAACAGG
rnacentral:rRNA from 1 species